rnacentral:rRNA from 1 species
UACGUAGGGUGCAAGCGUUGUCCGGAAUUAUUGGGCGUAAAGAGCUCGUAGGCGGUCUGUUGCGUCGCUGUGAAAACCCGAGGCUCAACCUCGGGCCUGCAGCCGAUACGGGCAGACUAGAGUUCGGCAGGGGAGACUGGAAUUCCUGGUGUAGCGGUGAAAUGCGCAGAUAUCAGGAGGAACACCGGUGGCGGAAGGCGGGUCUCUGGGCCGAUACCGACGCUGGAGGAAGCGAAAGCGUGGGGAGCGAACAGG